GUAGGUGGCAAGCGUUGUCCGGAAUUAUUGGGCGUAAAGCGCGCGCAGGCGGUCCUUUAAGUCUGAUGUUAAAGCCCACGGCUCAACCGUGGAGGGUCAUUGGAAACUGGGGGACUUGAGUACAGAAGAGGAAAGCGGAAUUCCAAGUGUAGCGGUGAAAUGCGUAGAGAUUUGGAGGAACACCAGUGGCGAAGGCGGCUUUCUGGUCUGUAACUGACGCUGAGGCGCGAAAGCGUGGGGAGCAAACAGGAUUAGAUACCCUGGUAGUCCACGCCGUAAACGAUGAGUGCUAAGUGUUAGGGGGUUUCCCGCCCCCUUAGUGCUGCAGCUAACGCAUUAAGCACUCCGCCUGGGGAGUACGGCCGCAAGGCUG
rnacentral:rRNA from 1 species